UCCAAGGAUUUCCCAUCGUGCCCUCAACAGUUCCACUUCCACUUCCACUUCCACUUCCCCACACUGUUUAUUCGCUUUCUCCUUCCUUAUUUCAUGAAGUGCAUCCUUUGCUUCCUCCCUCUUUCCUAGUUUCCCUGUAAGGGACACAAGCAAAAAUAAAGCUACGAUUCCACAAAUUUAGGUUAAAGACGGGUUCCAAUCAAGAAAACAUUCAAAAAUGAAAAUAAAAGCUUCAACAAAUAUGGUUUUCUGUAAAUUACAGUUGGAUCUACAAUCUAGUUUUUAUGCAAAUUUUGAGUUUGUGCCUAUCAAAUGCUAAAACAGGGCAGCCCUUCAUCUCCACCCUUGAGCAUUGACAAUUUAAUAGUUCAAUGUAUAUUACAGAUUUUGAAAAGCAGUACUACAUGAAGAAAAUGUUGGUACUUUUUUUGUCCUCCUUAAUUUACGGCCCGUUUGGUAUGUGGUAAUAAAUGGUGGUAAUGGUAACGAAAAACUAGUGUACUUUUGGUUGAAAAGUAUCUUGGCUACCUUGAUAGUUAUGCUUGUCCAACUUCAAUCGUUCAAUUUGAUGAUUUGAUAUAUUUUUGAGGUUCAAUUUGACGACUAAGAUUGCUACGAUUGUCAAGAUUUGAAGUUUUUCUUUUUCAACUCCACUCAUUCUUAAGGUAAGGUUUUAGAGGUGCAAUUUCAACUAUCGUUCUUGCUGUUAUUUACUGCAUUAUCUCUUCUUUAUUUUUUUUUUUCAUUUUUAAUUUGCAAAUUACAAAUAAAGUAUUAAAAUUUACAUGUUAAAGCGAAAAACAAGUAAAGCAAUUGAUAAACAGUCAUAUAUGAAUAUUUUAUCAAAAAAAAACUAAAUGCAUUGAUUCUGAUUUGUUUGCUAGAUUUCCAGGUGGAAUGAUUUUUGUAUGAUGGGGGUUUUAUGUUGAUAGUUAUUGAGCAUUUGAUAUGAAUAUUGAAGUUUUUUGGAUCUUUAAUAAUUAGAAUAGCGCCAACAUUAAUCUUGAUGAAACCAUUUUUUCUGUUUCACACUUAAGCAAUCUUGAUGAAACCAUUUCCAGGUGCAAUUUUGUUCUUUUACUUGCUCUCAUAUUUGUAUUUAUGUUUUUGUUUUAUUUUGUUGUAGAUGGUGUAAACUAAUCUAUUAUUAUCUAAACAAAUAAUAUUCAUGUAUCAACUUAUUUGAUCUGAGCUCUGACUUUAAGUUAGCUUGAGAAUUUUAGUUUACGAAUUUUCGAUUUUCCAUUGGGUUUUUUAUCUCUCGUAUUUGAUGGCUAAGCGAUUUAAUUAUGCUUGGAAGGGAAGCAUGUAAGUUUUGUAAACAUUUUUUUUUUAUUUUUUUGUUAACAAUUUCUUAAUUUUUGAUAAUUUUUGUUGAAAUAGCUCUGUUUUUCUGCUGUGUAGUGUUGAUUUAAGGAGAAUUUAAUUGCGUUUGCUUGGAUUUAUGUAGUGAUUUUUUGUUGGGUGAUUCUUAGUUGGAUACCUAUGAGCUAUUUGCAUUUGAAACUUUAUGAUUUUGGGUUGACCUUUAUUUAGUGAAAUUGAUCAUUUAAUUUGUUGGGAAUUUUUUAUUGUGAUGGAAAUGUAUCUAGGUUUUGCUUAAUUUGGAUAUUUUCGACAUGAAUAAUAUGAAGAAAAGAGGUAUUUGAAUAUUUUUGCAUGAUUUAAGAACUAGAACAAGAUUGUGGUAUCAUGAGCGAGUUUUAAAAUUGGGUAUUGGGUGUAGAUUAAGAGUUCAAUGUGAGUUUGGAAUAAAGGAACUAGUGUGAGAUUGCUUAUUUGAAUAUUUUUUGAAUUAAUACAUCCAAACUCAUUAUCAUCAUAUCCAGUGUAUCCCGCUCAUAGAAUAUUAUGGUCAGGGUCUGGGGUAGUAUAACUAAGCUAAUUAUGGCUAUAAUUAAAAUAACGUUUGUAAAUAAAAUUGGUGAAUUUUUGUGAAAACUUUUGUGCUUUCUCAUAAGUACCCUAUUGAUUUAUCGUAUUUUGGUUUAUAACUUUUACAUUUAUUUUUUAAUUUUGAUAAUUCUCCUUUCCAUUUCGGGUUUACUAUAUGCUUCGUUGAAAUUAUUAUAAAGAACUAUUGUACCUUUAGGGACUGAAAUGGAAUGGUUGUGUGGUGUCACUAUCACCUAUAAUGGUUAUGUUGCUAGUCUAUCUCAAGCAAGCUAUUGAAACUCUAACUUUCUGCUAAUUAUGUCGAGAUAUAUGGGGGUUUAGUUUUCUACAAUAUUCAACUUUUGUUUGUUCCAUUUAAUUCAUUUGAUACAUUUUCUUUUAGUGUGCCUGUUUUUGUCAUAUGUUUUUCUUUUGGAUUGAAGACGAAGCCAGAAUAUGCCAAGCGCGGUCAAAGGUUCUGGAGGAGGUAGGACGACUAUGGAAAUGGGAUAUGCAAUAUUGUUAUAGAAGUUGAGACUAAGAAUUAUUUUGUUGCUUGAGUACAGAAAUAUUUAUCUGAUUGAACUUUUGUGUAAUAACCUGUCAUUAAGACCAUGUAUAUUUGUAGUUUGAUUAGGCUAUCUUACUUUGCUUUUGGUAGCCGUCAUGCACAACAGUCCAAUUGGAACAAUAUCACUUGCUUUUGGCAAUCUACUCUGUAAUUUGAAUAUCUAUUGUUAACAAAGCAAUUAUGUGAGUUAUCUCGGUCAAAAA